rnacentral:rRNA from 1 species
GACGUAGGAUGCAAGCGUUGUCCGGAAUUAUUGGGCGUAAAGAGUUCGUAGGCGGCAUGUCAAGUCUGGUGUUAAAGACCGAGGCUCAACUUCGGAAGGGCACUGGAUACUGGCAAGCUAGAGUAUGGUAGAGGCAAGGGGAAUUCCCAGUGUAGCGGUGAAAUGCGUAGAUAUUGGGAGGAACACCGGUGGCGUAAGCGCCUUGCUGGGCCAAAACUGACGCUGAGGAACGAAAGCCAGGGGAG